rnacentral:misc_RNA from 1 species
AAGUCGUAACAAGGUUUCCGUAGGUGAACCUGCGGAAGGAUCAUUACCGAGAUAGGGUCUCUUCGGAGCCCGACCUCCAACCCUUUGUUUACCAAACCACUGUUGCCUCGGCGGGCCGCCGGCGCCUUUAACAGGGCGCCGCCGUCGGCCCUAGCGCUCUCGAGCGCCCGCCGCGGGACCCCCAAAACUCUUUAAUAAACAAGUAUCUUCUGAGUGGAAUUUAAUGCUUCAAAUAAAA